rnacentral:rRNA from 1 species
GACGAACGCUGGCGGCGUGCUUAACACAUGCAAGUCGAACGGAAAGGCCCCUUUGGGGGUACUCGAGUGGCGAACGGGUGCGUAACACGUGCGUAACCUGCCCUUGACUUCGGGAUAACUUCAGGAAACUGGGGCUAUUACCGGAUAGGAAUCCUUGCUGCAUGGUGGGGGUUGGAAAGCUUCGGCGGUUUUGGAUGGACUCGCGGCUUAUCAGCUUGUUGGUGGGGUAGUGGCUUACCAAGGCUUUGACGGGUAGCCGGCCUGAGAGGGCGACCGGCCACAUUGGGACUGAGAUACGGCCCAGACUCCUACGGGAGGCAGCAGUGGGGAAUAUUGCACAAUGGGCGGAAGCCUGAUGCAGCAACGCCGCGUGCGGGAUGACGGCCUUCGGGUUGUAAACCGCUUUCAGCAGGGGCGAAGCUUGUGGUGACGGUACCUGCAGAAGAAGCACCGGCUAACUACGUG